GACGAACGCUGGCGGCGUGCUUAACACAUGCAAGUCGAACGGAAAGGCCCUGCUUUUGUGGGGUGCUCGAGUGGCGAACGGGUGAGUAACACGUGAGUAACCUGCCCUUGACUUUGGGAUAACUUCAGGAAACUGGGGCUAAUACCGGAUAGGAGCUCCUGCUGCAUGGUGGGGGUUGGAAAGUUUCGGCGGUUGGGGAUGGACUCGCGGCUUAUCAGCUUGUUGGUGGGGUAGUGGCUUACCAAGGCUUUGACGGGUAGCCGGCCUGAGAGGGUGACCGGCCACAUUGGGACUGGGAUACGGCCCAGACUCCUACGGGAGGCAGCAGUGGGGAAUAUGGCACAAUGGGCGGAAGCCUGAUGCAGCAACGCCGCGUGCGGAUGACGGCCUUCGGGUUGUAAACCGCUUUCGCCUGUGACGAAGCGUGAGUGACGGUAAUGGGUAAAGAAGCACCGGCUAACUACGUG
rnacentral:rRNA from 1 species